CCAAAGCUUUGGGACCCUGCACCCGCGUGGGAGACCUGGAAGAGGUUCCCGGCUUUGGAUCGGCGCAGCACCGGCAGUUGCGGCUCACUUGGGGAGUGAAUCAUCGGACGGAAGAUCUUCCUCUCUGUCUCUCCUCUCUGUAUAUCUGCCAUUCCAAUAAAAACAAAUAAA